CUUGAAUAUAGCUGAUUCUGUGAGAAGUAAACUAUAAAAGAGAUCUGCUUGUUUAUACACUGACACACUGACUUUCCAGCUCUGUCUGUACCAGACUAAGCACACCAAAUCUUGGAAGCUAAGUGGUCCAGGAGCUGGCUGAACAGAUGACACCCAGUUCUCGUUUGCUGCAGCUUUGGACUGGACUGUGCUGGUGAUCACGUGUGGAGGAUCAGUGUCUCUUUGUAUGAAUAACAAGAUUUGCAACCGUGGCUGAAUGUAGCCACUAUGUGGAUGGAGGACUGCCCAACAGCACAGCCAUGCUCCCUUCUGACACAGAGCACAUGAUGAAUAAAAGGACAUCUGAACCCAAGUGUAAGGACACAGUGGUCAGAGGGAAUGGGAAAAGGUAUGAUAUAGAUGGAGCUCAGUUUUAACACAUGGGCUUUGUGGUUGAUUUGGAACCUUAUUUUCUAAGAUUGCUCUUCCCUCCUGCACUGUUGAGAGAACCUACUUUUCAGAGCCUCUAUGUAGUAAUUCAUUUUGAAGUACAGAGAUGAAAAGUGCUAUGAGUUAUAUUAGAAGUAUAAUUUUGAGAACUGAAGUAAGUAGUUGGUGGUGGUAUAAUUCAGCAUCACAAGUUUACAAUUCUUUGUAUGCUUUUUUUUUGUUGAUUAGUUAAAAUCUGACUGACAUUUAUCUCUACUAAUAUGCAAAGACUUUCAAGGUUUGGAGAUUUUCUUCAUUUCUUUAUUUAAAAAAAAAAAAAGUAAUAUACUUUCUAAGUGUUUUGGUAGGCCUAGAGCUUUGUCUUUUAUAUGUAUGUACCUAAUUGCAAUUUUUGUGUUGGGAAAACCCUGUUAAUGUCCCCUGUGAAUUAGGCAAUUAAUCUUGUACAGCCUGAUAUUGUUUUUCAUGUAUGUUUGAAGGUAGGUAAAAAUGCAAUCUGGCCCCUUAGUCCAGAAUGUGGAGUUCAAAAAGCAAUAGGAUGGCUAGGGUGAGGGAAACUUCUGAAAGUACCUAUCCUCAGCAACCUGGGUGGAAAAAAAAACAAGGUGCUUGCUAAAGGUGUCUGGAAUACAUAUCCCUUGAAAAUCUGCAAUAGGAAUCAGCACUGUUUCUGUGAUCCUAGUGAUUGCUAUUAGACACUAGCAAUAAGAACAUCAGAAAUGAGUCCAAGCUGCACAUUCAGACCUAAACAAACUUGCCUACAGGGGUAAAUUAUAAGAAAAAGCGCUUUUCGUUCAAGGAUUUCAAUGAUGUACAAGCAUUAACUGCUCUUAUUUCCCCAAAGAGAAAGAAUUAGAAAACAGCUAUUAAGCACAUGGGUAAGCAGAAGACUUGAUAGCUUAAUGGUCAAAAUACAGCUCUCUGGAGACCAGCAUGCUAGAAUGAAGGAUGGAGAGAUGCAGUAGUCCUUUCUUGCUCUGCCUAAAGCUGCUGAGCUUAAACAGGGAGCACUGCCAUCAGUACUAAAUACUCCAAGGGAUGCCUCUCUGACUAUGCUAAGUAUCUGGGAUGCAGGGAACACAUAUAAGCACCUGUUGAAACAGUGAAGGAAACAUUGCUUUAAGUGCAUUCUGCCAUCCCACCCCCAUGCAAUGCUCUUGUGGAAUUUUACCUCGUGCAGAGAGAAUGUCUCUCUUGCCCUGCUGCAUCAACUGUUUCCUCCUCCCCACCCCCAACAGAGCUCCAUCAGCUCAAAGACCAAG